GCCAGACUCCUACGGGAGGCAGCAGUGGGGAAUAUUGCACAAUGGGGGAAACCCUGAUGCAGCGACGCCGCGUGAGUGAAGAAGUAUUUCGGUAUGUAAAGCUCUAUCAGCAGGAACGAGACAAGACGGUACCUGACUAAGAAGCCCCGGCUAACUACGUGCCAGCAGCCGCGGUAAUACGUAGGGGGCAAGCGUUAUCCGGAAUCACUGGGUGUAAAGGGAGCGUAGACGGCUGAGCAAGCCUGAAGUGAAAGGCGGGGGCCCAACCCCCGGACUGCUUUGGGAACUGUACGGCUGGAGUGCAGGAGAGGUAAGUGGAAUUCCUAGUGUAGCGGUGAAAUGCGUAGAUAUUAGGAGGAACACCAGUGGCGAAGGCGGCUUACUGGACUGUAGCUGACGUUGAGGCUCGAAAGCGUGGGGAGCAAACAGGAUUAGAUACCCGAGUA
rnacentral:rRNA from 1 species